GGCAGGCUUAACACAUGCAAGUCGAGCGGAGAGAGGUAGCUUGCUACUGAUCUUAGCGGCGGACGGGUGAGUAAUGCUUAGGAAUCUGCCUAUUAGUGGGGGACAACAUCUCGAAAGGGAUGCUAAUACCGCAUACGUCCUACGGGAGAAAGCAGGGGAUCUUCGGACCUUGCGCUAAUAGAUGAGCCUAAGUCGGAUUAGCUAGUUGGUGGGGUAAAGGCCUACCAAGGCGACGAUCUGUAGCGGGUCUGAGAGGAUGAUCCGCCACACUGGGACUGAGACACGGCCCAGACUCCUACGGGAGGCAGCAGUGGGGAAUAUUGGACAAUGGGGGGAACCCUGAUCCAGCCAUGCCGCGUGUGUGAAGAAGGCCUUAUGGUUGUAAAGCACUUUAAGCGAGGAGGAGGCUACUUUAGUUAAUACCUAGAGAUAGUGGACGUUACUCGCAGAAUAAGCACCGGCUAACUCUGUGCCAGCAGCCGCGGUAAUACAGAGGGUGCAAGCGUUAAUCGGAUUUACUGGGCGUAAAGCGCGCGUAGGCGGCUAAUUAAGUCAAAUGUGAAAUCCCCGAGCUUAACUUGGGAAUUGCAUUCGAUACUGGUUAGCUAGAGUGUGGGAGAGGAUG
rnacentral:rRNA from 1 species